GCAUCUUGGCUAAUAGCCUUUUACUCUCCGCUGGCAGGGGAUGGAGAAAAGCUGCUGUGGAAACUCAUUCAGCAGCUUGGCCCUGGGGCAUGGAUGGAUGGCCUCUGUGCUCACAGGAAGCAGCCAGGGCUCAGCAGGCAUUGUUCUAGGAAAUACAGCAGAAAUACAGAAUACCAGAAAUGCAGCAGUGAAGAAAGCCAAAAUUUGUGUCCCCUUGGAGUUUAUAGUUCAUGAGGAACUAAAAUAUGAACCAGCCAGAAAGAAGAGAUUUGGUUGA
rnacentral:lncRNA from 1 species